GAUGAACGCUAGCGGCAGGCCUAAUACAUGCAAGUCGAGGGGUAUGGGUUGCUUGCCACCCAGAGACCGGCGCACGGGUGCGUAACGCGUAUGCAAUCUACCUUAAUCAGGGGGAUAGCCCGGAGAAAUCCGGAUUAACACCGCAUAACAUUGAGUUGUGGCAUCACAGUUCAAUCAAAUAUUUAUAGGAUUAAGAUGAGCAUGCGUGACAUUAGUUAGUUGGUGAGGUAACGGCUCACCAAGACCACGAUGUCUAGGGGAUCUGAGAGGAUGACCCCCCACACUGGUACUGAGACACGGACCAGACUCCUACGGGGGGCAGCAGUAAGGAAUAUUGGUCAAUGGGCGCAAGCCUGAACCAGCCAUGCCGCGUGCAGGAAGACGGCCCUAUGGGUUGUAAACUGCUUUUGUACCGGAAUAAACCUUCUCUUGCGAGAGAAGCUGAACGUACGGUAAGAAUAAGGAUCGGCUAACUCCGUG
rnacentral:rRNA from 1 species